GACGAACGCUGGCGGUGUGCUUAACACAUGCAAGUCGAACGGUAAGGCCCUUUCGGGGGUACACGAGUGGCGAACGGGUGAGUAACACGUGAGUAACCUGCCCUCAUCUCUGGGAUAACAGUCGGAAACGGUUGCUAAUACUGGAUAUGAGCUUGCAAGGCAUCUUGUGGGUUGGAAAGAUUUUUUUUGGUUGGGGAUGGACUCGCGGCCUAUCAGCUUGUUGGUGAGGUAGUGGCUCACCAAGGCUUCGACGGGUAGCCGGCCUGAGAGGGCGACCGGCCACAUUGGGACUGAGAUACGGCCCAAACUCCUACGGGAGGCAGCAGUGGGGAAUAUUGCACAAUGGACGGAAGUCUGAUGCAGCAACGCCGCGUGCGGGAUGACGGCCCUCGGGUUGUAAACCGCUUUCAAUUGUGACGAAGCUUUUUUGUGACGGUAGCAGUAGAAGAAGCACCGGCUAACUACGUG
rnacentral:rRNA from 1 species